rnacentral:rRNA from 1 species
UGUUGCCGUUUUAUCACGGCUCGUCUUAAAUGCUUGAGUGUACCCUGUUUUGCAGCGUAUCCAGUGUAAUAAACAUUUCACUAGAGUUGGUCGAAAGACCGCGUUUUGCCAUUCGGGCUCUAUGCUUCGAACCGUCCACUUGUGGACAAUUUCUUGACAAUUUGACCUCAAAUCGGGUGGGACUACCCGCUGAACUUAAGCAUAUCAAUAAGCGGAGGAAAAGAAACUAACAAGGAUUCCCCUAGUAACGGCGAGUGAAGAGGGAAAAGCUCAAAUUUUGAAUCUGGUGUCUUUGACUCCCGAGUUGUAAUCUAGAGAAGUGUUUUCCGUGUCGGACCGUGUACAAGUUCCCUGGAACGGGGCGUCAUAGAGGGUGAGAAUCCCGUAUAUGCCACGGACUACCGAUGCUCUGUGAUACACUCUCAACGAGUCGAGUUGUUUGGGAAUGCAGCUCAAAAUGGGUGGUAAAUUCCAUCUAAAGCUAAAUAUUGGCGAGAGACCGAUAGCGAACAAGUACCGUGAGGGAAAGAUGAAAAGCACUUUGGAAAGAGAGUGAAACAGUACGUGAAAUUGUUGAAAGGGAAGCGUUUGAAGUCAGUCGCAUCUGUUGGGGUUCAGCCUGGCUUUUGCCUGGUGUAUUUCCUUUCCGAUGGGUCAGCAUCAGUUUCGACCGAGGGAAAAAGACAUUUGGAAUGUGGCUGUCUUCGGGCAGUGUUAUAGCCUUGUGUUGUAUGUCUCGGUUGGGACUGAGGAUUGCAGCGCGCCAUAAAUGGCCGGGGGUCGCUCCUCUCGACACGCGCUUAGGAUGCUGGCAUAAUGGCUUUAAGCGACC